rnacentral:pre_miRNA from 1 species
CCUCUGCAGGCUGGCUGGACCCCAGACGGAGCUGGGCGAGUCUCUUUUGGAAAGGCUCAUCUGCAAGCAUGACCAGGAGC